rnacentral:rRNA from 10 species
GUUAUAGGGUCAAGCGAACAAGUGCAUGUGGUGGAUGCCUUGGCGAUCACAGGCGAUGAAGGACGCGGUAGCCUGCGAAAAGCUACGGGGAGCUGGCAAACGAGCUUUGAUCCGUA